GAGGGUGAAGCUCAGUAGUACAGCACUUGCCUGUCAUGCUAUGUGCAUGAUCCUGGGUUCAAUUCCCAACACCACCA
rnacentral:tRNA from 1 species